UUAAACCCUCACUUGGAGUCUCCUGAGUCCUGAUGGGGUCUCUCCCUGGGCAGGCAGAGUGCUGUUGCCCCGACCUGGGAUUGAUGGAGAGGACCGGAAGUCCCUCUCUCAGGGCAGUUCUAGCCUGAUGGCCCCCGGUGUCCCCUGCUGAGAAUAUGUCUUUUGCAUCUCUUGUAGGACAUAACCUUUGUAAUACUUAAGUCAGAGCAUGUGUUUGCCCUCGGCUCUAAACCCACUCCUCUGUGGGGAUAAUGUUCUUAUUUCCUUUUAAGCAACCAAAUGUGUUGUUGCUUUUUUUUUAAUCUCCGUAGAAGCUUUGGCAAUUUUCUCCCUAUCUUUAGAGAUCUGUAGAGAUGACAUACUUUACCACUAUGUGUCUAGAAAAGCGUUCUUUAUUUAUCAGCCUUCGUUGGACUCUCUAUAACUAAUAUCCAAAUCUCUCUUCAGCACAGAGAAACUUUUUGUAUUUCCUUCAUCUGUUCUGUUUUCUCCUCCCCACAACUCUUUAUUCAAUCCAGGGGUUCCAGGAGAGAUUAAACUGUCUUCAGUAUCUCCUUGCUUCCUCCCACCCCAAACUUUCCUUCUCUUUGUUCUUUUUCAGAGUUUUAGGGAAAUAACAGUUCCAGCCCAAAUUCAGAUUUUCUGUGGAGUAUGUUUUUUUGGACUUUGAUAUUUUGAAUUCCCAACAGUUUGUUAUUCUUUUUCGUUUGUAGCCUGGUUGCUUCUUUUUUAAUUGAAUCAUUUUAAGACCCUUUAGUAUAUUUGAGCUUUGUUUGCAGAGAGACCACUUCUGCUUGUCGAGUCUGUUGGCUCGUUCUCUGGCUCAUUCCCUCAGUCAUUUGGUGAUUCAUGUUCCUCGGUUUGUAGGCUGGAGAGAGUUCACUUAGUGUGAAUGAGAAUCCUGUGCCCCUGGCAGUGAACACAGGUUUUCAUCACAUGACCUGUAUCUAGUGGGUUUUGUUUUGUUUUGUUUCCAGAGGAAGAGAAUGUUAAUCCAGCAAAGGGGGAACAUUAAGGAAUAGCGUACCUGCGUGGACUUUUCUAUGAGGCAACUCAACCCCAAGUACCAAUUUUCAGGAAAUGCAGGGGACAGAGAAACAUGUAAAAGGACCCAUGAGAAUGCAGCCAGCAAAAUUAUCACUAGGAUAAUUUCUCCAAAAAACCAAUGCUAAACUGAAACACAGAAAGGCGCGGUGGAGGAGAAACCUACCGAUGAAGGGACACUUAAGAGAGAGAGCGCAAGCAUGGGGAGUUGGAGAGGG